rnacentral:rRNA from 1 species
GACGAACGCUGGCGGCGUGCUUAACACAUGCAAGUCGAGCGGUAAGGCUCCUUCGGGAGUACACGAGCGGCGAACGGGUGAGUAACACGUGAGUAAUCUGCCCCGCACUUCGGGAUAAGCGCCGGAAACGGCGUCUAAUACCGAAUACGACCAGCCUUCGCAUGAGGUGCUGGUGGAACGUCUUAUCGGGGAGGGAUGUGCUCGCGGCCUAUCAGCUUGUUGGUGCGGUAACGGCACACCAAGGCUUCGACGGGUAGCCGGCCUGAGAGGGUGACCGGCCACACUGGGACUGAGACAAGGCCCAGACUCCUACGGGAGGCAGCAGUGGGGAAUAUUGGACAAUGGGCGAAAGCCUGAUCCAGCAACGCCGCGUGAGGGAUGACGGCCUUCGGGUUGUAAACCUCUUUCAGUAUCGACGAAGCGCCUUUAACGGUGGUGACGGUAGAUACAGAAGAAGGACCGGCCAACUACGUGCCAGCCGCCGCGGUAA